rnacentral:tRNA from 1 species
GUAGCUCAGUGGUAAGAGCAAGCCCCGGCAAGGCAAGGUCAUGGGUUCGAUUCCCAUCUUUUU